UUGGGUUUUGAGCAAUCUAACACUUCCUAAGUGUGCAUGCAACCCUAAUAAACCUUGGAUCUAUGUUUUCUUCUAAAAUACAUGAAAAUAAUAACUUCCAAGGUUUCUUCCUAACUAGCUUAGCAUAAGGAUUAUGAAUCAUAAAAGUAAUAGUAGAAAUACAUACCUUUUGAUGAUGGUUGAUUGUUUGGAGUUUGAGAGCCAAGCACCAAUAGUGUGAAUGCCUCAAAUGGAAUCACAAAUCACCACAAACACUUGGAAAACUUUGAGAGAGUAGUAUACUUUCUUGUGGAAUCGGCCACCACUAAGUCUCACACUCCUAGUGUCACAUUUCUUGCAUCAUAUGCUUCUUUAUAUAGUGUGCAUGGUUAGGGUGAAACCCUAAUAACCCAUGUCUUUUCCUUUCCAAGGAUCCAUGGGUUAAAAGCUCCAUGGAUCAUCCAUGGACUUUCAUAUUAGCUUAGCCCAUUAACAAAUGAGUAUUAGCCCACACUAUAUAAAAUAUAAUAGCCCAUAAUUUAAUCAGUCUUCUUUUUAAUCUCUAAAUUAAUUCAUAAUUAAUUUAAGACUAAAACUAAUUAAAUAACAUGACUUCAUAUUAAUAUAUUAUAACUUAUAAUAUAUUAAUAAAUCGUAAGUAUACAAUUCUCAUAAAAUUAUCCAUAAAUCGUUUGGGUGAAGUGCAACCCAAAUGGACCAUGUCGGGCCGGGUCAAGUAUGUACCAAAUAAGUUAUGGACUUAGACACCUUAUCCAACAGACUCCCACUUGGAUAAGUCUAAUAACUAUAUUUGCGUAUGUUACUUCAGGAACCAACCAGCAAUCGUAGCUCUCGAAAACUCUGUUGAACUAUGAAGCGCCAUUUUAGAUAAGUGAUCAUAUAAUCCUCUGUUCUCAUGAUAUCAGCCGGACAAAUACAUGGAACAACGUCGUACUUAUUGUCCAGCAGUUUGUUUCCCGAUUUUCGAUUUGUUUGACAAAGAACUUAAUCGAACACAUCAAUUUAGUUCUGACCGGCCGGUACAUAGGUCACAACAAAAUCAUCGAGGGGCCCAGAUAUCGCUUCUAUUUCUAGAAGGAACAGAUAAACUUCGACUCAUAUGCUUGUUCUACUACUUGUUGAAUUGUACACAAAGGCACGUUUUAUAACAUCAAGUUACUGAUGCGUUUACGUGCAAUCAAUGCACAACCAACUCAUAGGUAACAACUCAUAUCUCUAGGUUUGAAGAUUUAUAUGAUAUUACCGUCUCACGAUCACUCGAGAUAAAUUCCAUGAAGUGAUACAAGUGAGCGUGGGUUUAUUCCAAUACUCAUAACUUAUGAGCACUCAUGAAUGUUGUAGCAACCAUUGCUAUGACUAAACCCAUUUAGCCAUCUACAAACUCGAUUCAUGACAGUCUUGAUUCAUACCUACUUCCAACAUAUGAACGACUGUGGAGUGUUUAAAUAACUUAGUCAUUCGGAAAGAAUAACCUAGCUAUUUUGGAAGUCAAAACAUGCAAAGUGAAACACAAUAAUAAUCGAAUCCAAUAUGGUCUCAGAACCCUUUUGAAUAUAAAUAGAACCACCUUUUAUUUAUCACCAUAUUGAUUACACAUUAUUCAUUGUAUAAUGUUUCAAACAAUCAACUUAAGACUUGAAUAAAAACAACAGUCGUCCCAUGCUCCUAGCAUGUACACUUUGUUUUUCUAAACAAUAGUUAUGCCAUACUCCAAGUAUGCACACUAUGUUUGUCUAUGAUCCUUACAUUGUGAUGUAGAUCAAUUGAACAUGAUUCCAAUGAUACUCAUUUCACAAUCCCAAAUCCUUAUUGUAAAUGUGAGAAUCCCCGAUUCCUAUCAUUUACCAAAAAAACUGUUAGAUUUUAAACUUUUAUGCAAUGUUCCUCUUGUAAUGAUUAUGCACAAAGUCACCAAAACCUUGUCACCAGUCAUUACAGAGUAUUCCAAAGAAGGUCAACUUCUAUGGAACGGAAGUCUCAUAUUCAAAGUACAUUGCUUUGAACAUCCUUCUUGCAUUAAGGUUUUCUAAUCUUACAUAGAUUGAAUAACUUCCACCUAUGGAGACAUUUCCAUAGUCCCAUUUUGACUAUCACUUCCGAACAAGAGUUACUUCUUUUCAGAAUAUGUCAAUAUGGUCCUUUCCGACAACUUACAUCAUACUUCCAACUUUCCCUGAGCAACCAAUCUUUGGCGAACCUCAGAUUGUCCUCGACAAUUGCUUAAUCACUUUAGUCAUAUCCAGUUCUAGACUUUUCCCUUCUCAAUGCCUUAAGCAUUUGGAAAAUUUAGAAAAGAUGAAUAUUAUAGCACAUGCAAUCGAUCCUAUAUCCGAAGCAUAUGGGACACGAUUCAUGAUGUUUGACAUAAAGACAUGAUACUAGACCAGUCUUUUGCUACAAUAUUUUUUAUUUGCCAUGUUUUCAAAAUUUAACUAUGAAGAGGGAUGCCGUAAUCAUAAUCGAAUUUUGAAAACGCAAUAUAUAUAGAAUUUCUUCAAGUUGAACCAUUCCAACAUAAAAUUCAUAUAUAUAUUCUUGACUAAAGAUGAUUAAAAUCUCAAUCUAAGCUUUAGAAUUGAAAUGAAGUAUAAUUUCCUCUCCCUUAAUUAUAGCAAAACAACUUUUCAACCCCUGCAACUUCACGAAUUGAAACUUUGUUUUCUAUAAUUAACAUUGCUAACUUGCAACACUAAACGUAAUAAUCAUGCUCCCACUAACAUGAUGAUUAUCAGCAUAACACUUAUGCUCCCACUAGCUCUGACAUAUUUCCAGAAAUCUGCUGGACUUCUGAAAUUUAGAUUCAUACACCCUUUCUUAGAUAGCUCACAUGUGUGUCUAAACAAUUUUCAGAACUAUGAAAAGGGAUGCCGUAAUCAUAGUCUCAAUUGCUUAGGCAUUUGCCAUUUCUCACAAGUCCAUGUUAGUGUGCCGGUUAACCACACGCGCUCCACUAACGACUUUUGAAAAUGCAAAUAACACAAUUGAUAUCUACGUAAAAUCUACUUAGUGAAAGCGUUUCCUCACCAUCAUUUUCAUGAAUCGGAGAGAAACCUUAUGACACUUAGAUUUUAUAGUGUAUGAGUUCCUAUCCAUGUGAAUUUGUCAAAACCAUAAUCACAAGAUAAGGUUAGUGACAAAUUCAGCCUUACAUGGAUUAAACUUGUUCAAUCUUAGUUUCUUGUCACCUUGGUAGCACAAGGCCCACCAAUGCUUCCAAGUUGAACUCUGAUAACUCACAUGCAAAUUCAACUUAUUUGAAGUAGGUACAGAAAUAAGAAUUAUGUCAACACGAUAGGUUGCAAACCUUAAGUCGUGUGCUAGUGAUAAAUUACAGGUUUUACUCUUGAUUAAAUCUUGAAACUCUUUCAGGAUCUUUAAGGCUCCCACUGUCCCCUUGACAUAUAAGUUUCCCCAGUCAAGAACCAUUCCUUGACAAAACAAAUAUUCAAGGGAUAGUGCGGAUUCUUAUCAAGACUAACACUUCACACAAUUGGUCUUAGUUGGUCUUUGUCUCAUCCAAGACAUCACAACUUACCAAUCUCAAAUGUACAAGAGUAGAAAACAUUUUACUCUUACAUUUGACUAGUGUUAAUAAAUCUUCCUUUAUGUCACUCAAAGUUACAAUCUUGGAGUAUGACUCUAAGAAUUGUUUUGGAACGAAGUAUGACUCAUCUUCUUGAUUUUAACCAAUCCAACAAUUCAUGACCUCUCUUCUUAGCCAUAACAAUGCACUAAGACGUCCUUAGAGUAUGAAUUUGUGAUAUGGUUUCAUAAUCAUUAAGAUGAUCAUGAAAUACGAUACUAAAGUACUCUCCCAUCCUUUCAGAUUUGAGAAACUUUUAUCUUUCUGCCUAAUUUGAUUCUUCUCAUUUGUUUUGUCAUACAUUGUAACCUUUCCAAUGUUACAGAAUUAUACUUAACCUCAUAAGUAUAAUCAUAUUUACUAAUCUUUAGUAAAUCAUGACAAAUCAAUCUUUGUGGUGGACCUUGACCAGCGCACACCCAGUGUACCUAAUUCCUUAGUCCUUCAAUUGACUCACAUAUACAUGUGAUCAAAGAAUUAGUCUUAAUUUUCAAAGAUGAAAAUUCUCAUUCAUCAUACAAUACAACUUGUAUGAUUCCAAGUUUCUGUCCAAUUGAAACUUGGGUGAUGAAAAACUUUCUUCAUUUGGUAAAUUCAGACACUACCACAAAUGAAAGAAUCAAAUCCACUUUCCAAUAUUGCUAUUACUGGAAACAUAUAAGCAACAAUUUUCCACAGAUGCCAUUGUAAGGAUAUUUUUAAAAUAAAUAAAAUUAAAACCCUUUUUUUUUUUUUUUUUAAAACUUUGCGGAAAAACUUAUCCUUACAAUCCACAUGAAAACCUUGUUGUUAUCUAUUCAUAAGCAAUAUAUUAUAACUCUUAAGCAACAGCUCAAAAUUCUGAUUACCGAACCAUGCGAUCGAAACCCACCUUCGCAAUCAGAAUCAACAUAUACUUACUUUAAGCUUCCUAUCUUUUCUUUGAUUCUUAAAAACAUCAGCAUGUGACCCAUUCACAUUAUGUAAUAAGAAUCUCCAAAUAGGAACUUAAUAGAGUUAGACAGUGGACUUUACCCGAAGUAGAGUCAAACCUCUUGACUUGAUCAACCUUAUGACCUUUCAGGUGAAUAGGGCAGCUUCGCAACCAAUGCCCCUUCCUUUGGCAACAAAACACAUGGACCCUUUGGUAAUGGCACAUGAGACUAUCUCAGACUUAGCCUUUCUCUUUACCAUUUGGUCAACCGAGUUGACUAUGGCCGAUCCCUUUCCAUUGGGAAGAGAAAUCCUUUUCUAGAUAUCCAAUGCUACCAUUGUCAAUGUCCAUUUAAGACUUGGGAAGUUGUUCUUUUAAUCAAAUUUGCUUUACUGGUGUUCCAAAUCAUUGCUGAUUCCACAACACCAAGCAAAUAGAUAACAUCAUUAAGGGUCAUGUCAUAGUCUGUCUCAUAGUAGUCCCAAAGAGACUCACUAUGUUACUAAGAAAGUGAUUGAACAUCCAACUUUCACGAGACUUUGACACCCAACUCUCCCGGCUUGUCAAUAUGUGACUUUAUCUCCAAGAUGUGAGCACACAUAGACUAUGCUUGCCAAUAGGGAUUGAGUGACUUUAAACUUUUCAAGAACUUGUGGGUGAGGGAGAAUAAUUGGAGGAGGUGGAGGAAGUGAAGCAUGAUGUUGAGGGACACCAUCUUCAAGAGAUUUGGGAAGAUCAUAGUUGUCUGAACCAGACAUCUAUAAUGGGAGAAAAUCAAGUUAGUUGAUUCAAAGUCCUUAAUAUAACACCCAAUAUGAAAUAUUAAGGCUAGGACCCAACACAAUAUUUUAUAAUUUGGAAGAGGGAUGCCGUAAUCCAAGCUAUAAAAUAUUUGAAGGUAGGCGAAUGACGAUUCACCAAUUUCCACCAUGAAAAACGAAAUAAUUUAUUAGGUUUUAAUUGGAUUUGAAAUUCCUAGAUCUUUUGAGAUUCAUUGAACUUUUCAAUGGCAUGUUUCAAUCUCGAGUGUGCCCUCUCAAAUUUUGUGACUGGGAUGCCGAGGAUCACAAAACAAGGUGUGAAUAACCAUACCAAUUCACUUGGUACCCUUAAUAUUAUCACCUAAUCAAUGUGCCGGUUAACCACACACGCUCCAUUGAUCUAUGACAAACAUUAAGUCACCCUUCGUGAUCCUUACUAGUCCAAGUUAGUGUGCCGGUUAACCACACACGCUCCACCAACGACUUGGUAAGGUACAAAGUGUGAAUUCCAUGGGCUAGCACCAAAUUCACAUUUUUCCUAAAGUAACUAAGAUUGGGAAUUAAAUAAAAAAUUUUUAGUUACUUUAUAAUAAUCAUUAUACUUUUAAUGAGAAUUUAAAGUCAUUGUCCUACCCGUUCGGCUAACGACCCUCCACCGAUCAAGCAAGCGGUGGGUGAGAGUGGACACCCAUUAAGUCGCCAUUUUAUAGGCAACAACCUUAUACCCACCUUAUAGACCGGCUUCGUGAAUGAGGCCUACUAACGGUAAAACGACUUGUUCUUAUACAUAUAUAUAAUAAUUAACCAUUAAUGUUAUAAAUAGUAUAAGUGUUGAAUUUUAACUUUUAAAACUCUAAGUGUUGGAAUUAAAGUUUAUUAAAGUGUGUGAAACUUUUCAAAUUCCAAAACUUGAGGGCAAGUUUUGUAACUAUCCAAAACUUUUCAUUUCAUAACUUAUGAAUUAAAGGUUCAUAAAAAUGAAGACUCUUCAUUUUCAUGUAACUUAUGUGUUUAAAUGUGUGUGUUAAAGAAAAGUGACCUUUGGAUAUCCAUAACUUGAGGACAAAUUAUGGACUCCAUUAAAACACAUAAAUGAUCAAGAAUUAAUUCUAAACAAUUCAGCAAAUAAUUCCUAUCAUCUUCUAAAUUCAUAAGAACAUGAACAUGAUCAUCAAAAUUUCAAGAAUUAUAUGAACACAUAAAAAUCAUGGAAUUUUGAUAUAUGCUAUUGUAAAUGGAUUAGAACAACCAUUACACCAACUAAAACAAGUUUUAAAACACCAAAACAGUUUAGGGUAAUGUUUCUAGUCCAUUUCCAGCAGCAAAAGUCGAAAUUCUGCAUUCUGAUCAUUCUACUCGCCGAGUGCACGAACCUACUCGCCGAGUAGGAUGAAUUUUGCCUUGAACUCGGCGAGUCCCCCCAUGGACUCGGCGAGUCCAUCAGCCAGACAGCAACAAUUUCAACUUUUUUCACUAUUUUGCAUCAAGUAUCAAACAAGCAAGCCUAGGCUCUGAUACCACUGUUGGGUUUUGAGCAAUCUAACACUUCCUAAGUGUGCAUGCAACCCUAAUAAACCUUGGAUCUAUGUUUUCUUCUAAAAUACAUGCAAAUAAUAACUUCCAAGGUUUCUUCCUAACUAGCAUAGCAUAAGGAUUAUGAAUCAUAAAAGUACUAGUAGAAAUACAUACCUUUUGAUGAUGGUUGAUUGUUUGGAGUUUGAGAGCCAAGCACCAAUAGUGUGAAUGCCUCAAAUGGAAUCACAAAUCACCACAAACACUUGGAAAACUUUGAGAGAGUAGUAUACUUUCUUGUGGAAUCGGCCACCACUAAGUCUCACACUCCUAGUGUCACAUUUCUUGCAUCAUAUGUUUCUUUAUAUAGUGUGCAUGGUUAG
rnacentral:lncRNA from 1 species